CGUGGCUGUUGCUAAUUGGAUGGCGCUGGAGCUGCCCAGCCCAGGAGGGUUGGAAGAGACUGGCCCUUUGCUACUACCGGAGCUGAGGAGAGGAAGUCAAAGCCACCAUAUUUUGUGAACAUCUGUGAAGCAUGAGAAGGGAAUCAUCCAGAGAAAUUCGAUGCUGAGGGGGAAAGUUCCGGGACUCUCAGUCUGUCGGCAAACUGCUCUCCUUGGACGGGCCAGCGGUCACCUGAACUCCUUCCUGUCUCCAGAUGGAAUCUGAUGAGCUCCUCUGGCAAAGGAGAGCAGCUGUCCUCCGCCCAGGCCCUUUCACUGUGUAUCCUGCCGUGGAGCCAGGUGACUAUGGAUUGAAACUUCUACAGACGGGAACAGCUGUGUGAACUUGCAGGCCACAUGGGAAGAACCCUGUGUGACGUCUGGGUGGAGAGUGAAGCUAUGCAGCUGCACAUCAAGAACCCAAAGGGGCUGCCAGAGACCAUAAGGAGCUACGGAGAACCGAGGAAGGAUCCAUUGGUCUUUCCUGUGGAUUUCAGAGGGGGCAUGGUUCCUCAAUGCCUUGAUUCCGGAGCUGUAAAAGAAUACAUUUCUGAUUUGUAGGCCAGCCAAUCCCAGUAUUUUAUGACAGAAGCCAAAGAAAAUGUCCUAUAUCUAGAGAGAAAAGAAAUACACUCAGCCAGGCACAGUGGCACACACUUAAUCUCACACUGAGAGGCUGAGGCAGGGAGGAUCAUAAAUUCAAGCCCAGCCUGGGAAACUUAGAGACUUGGUCAGACCCUGUCUCAAAAUUUAAAACACUGAAGAGGCUGGAGAUAUGUUCAGUGCAAAGGCCCUGGAUUCCAUUCCUGGUACUGAAGAAAAACAAAAAGGAAAGGAAGAAAAUACAUAGAGUCCUCUAAAGUGAGGAAAGUACUAAUAAAAUUAUCUGUCUGAAGGAGCUCUAGGACCUUUACUUUCUCAGUCCUAAUUUGAAUCCAAUCUAGAUGGUGGGCAAAUAAUAGCUAUUUUCAGGACAUGAGUCUCUUAACCUCCUUUCAAAGUGG
rnacentral:lncRNA from 1 species